GAGCUAGCCGGGGACCAAGAAAGCCCCAUCCAAGCUACGAAGAGAACAAUGCUUUCAAAAGCAGCCGAUAGCUGUGAGUGGCCUACUGCAGAAUCCUUAAAAGGGACAGAUGGGCAGCAGUUGAGAGUCAGUUCUCUCAAAAAUCCCUCUUUGGCCUCCAAGAAUUGUGAUAAAAAUCCCAGUUCCCAGGGGAAUGAGGGCAACAAGGGAGCUCUGGGAGGGAGAUGUACAGGAUCGUGCCUUGUCUGGAGGGAGGUAAGGUACAGUUCCCACAGCCCUGAUGCUCUGGGUGUCCCGCAAUCCCUGCAAUCUGGUUUCUGCUCCUGCCUCCCCACAGCACAGCCUCCCAAAGAGGAAAGUGCAGAAGUGGGAGCUCUUCGUGCCCCGUCCUGCCUUUUCUGCCGCACAGGAGUAGACAGCAGGUGCUAGGACUUGUGCCGACAGCACAGCAGACGUAUGAGGAGCCCUGGAUAACCUACAACUUAUGGCUUUGUCUGGCUCUCUGGACACCAGCUACACUCCCACCUCCUUCCCUCGAGACCUGCCAAGCAGAGAAGCGCUUCCCUCCACGCUGCUGGAUUUCCCCUCCCGCAGUGGCUCUCUGGCCAUGCGGCUCCGCAGCCGGUUUCCCGUCAAGAGCAAGCACGGCGUUUCUCACCCAAAGCGUGGCCUGUGCUGCAAGGGAGGACGGGGUGGAGGUUAGAAGGCUGGAAGAAGCCUCUGGUGAUGCUUGCAAGAGAUUUGGAACUGGCUCUGGAAUAGGCACCACGUGCUUACGUGUUUCUCUGGUUCCCUCCAGAGGCGCCAGCAGCUGUAUGAAUGAUUCUUGCACUGUAAUGCUGUGGUCUGUGCUUUGUGGGCCGAGGUGUCUAAUGCGAUGCAAGGCUGCAGUUAAUCAGAUUUAGCAGGGAGUCUAGAGGCUGAGUGCAGACUGUGUGCUGAAUGUGACUUUGUCACUGGAGCUUUUGUGGUGAUGCCCAUUCAUGUCUUUCAGAUUAAUUCCUGGAGUCAUUAUCUUCCUGCAUUUGUGUCUCACCACAUCUUCCAGGCAGCUCUGCCUAGGAUUUAGCAGAUAUUCUCUCCUCCUGGAGAGCUGCAUCUGACUGGUCUCUCACCUGCUUCUAUACAAUCCUGCAGAGAUCUGUUCCUACAUAACCUGAGCAGAUUUUUUGUAAGCUUGCAGGUAACGUAAAAGCUGCAGGUGUCUUGUACUUUAAAAGAAACAGCCCAUCAGCUGGAAAUUCCCACUUCUCCCAGCAGAACAUUGUUCUUCACUUAGGGCAACAGCUAGAAAGGGUGGAAAAGCACUGUAGGGUGAAAAUCCGUUACAGCCAGAUGACUUCUGAGCACGUGU